CUUUCCUUGACGACGACUGGCGCACGGGUGAGUAACGCGUAUCCAACUUCCCAUGACCACGGGAUAACCCGUUGAAAGACGGCCUAAUACCGUAUGACGUCGUUUGCCGACAUCGAAAGACGACCAAAGGUUUGGCGGUGAUGGAUGGGGAUGCGUCUGAUUAGCUUGUUGGCGGGGUAACGGCCCACCAAGGCUACGAUCAGUAGGGGUUCUGAGAGGAAGGUCCCCCACAUUGGAACUGAGACACGGUCCAAACUCCUACCGGAGGCAGCAGGU
rnacentral:rRNA from 1 species